AGACCGGCGCACGGGUGCGUAACGCGUAUGCAACCUGCCUUCCACAGGGGAAUAGCCCAGAGAAAUUUGGAUUAAUGCCCCAUGGCACAGCGAGACGGCAUCGUCUUGCUGUUAAAGUAACAACGGUGGAAGAUGGGCAUGCGUCCCAUUAGCUAGUUGGUAGGGUAACGGCCUACCAAGGCUAUGAUGGGUAGGGGUCCUGAGAGGGAGAUCCCCCACACUGGUACUGAGACACGGACCAG
rnacentral:rRNA from 1 species